UGAGUACGAGAUGCUACGGCGUCGAAGCAGUCUAGGUCAUACUUCCAAGAAAAGCUUGCACUGUCAUAAACAAAGAAUGCCUGUACCAUAACCGACACAGGUGGGUAGGUAGAGUAUACUAAGGGGCGCGAGAUAACUCUCUCUAAGGAACUCGGCAAAAUGACUCCGUAACUUCGGGAGAAGGAGUGCCUUAUUUUUAAGGUUGCAAUAACAAGAUCCAAGCAACUGUUUACCAAAAACACAGGUCUCCGCUAAGUCGUAAGACGAUGUAUGGGGGCUGACGCCUGCCCAGUGCCAGAAGGUUAAAGAAGUUGGUUAGCAUUUGCGAAGCUGAUAACUGAAGCCCUGGUGAACGGCGGCCGUAACGAUAACGGUCCUAAGGUAGCGAAAUUCCUUGUCGGGUAAGUUCCGACCCGCACGAAAGGCGUAAUGAUUUGGAUACUGUCUCGGAGAGGGGCUCGGUGAAAUAGACUUGUCUGUGAAGAUGCGGACUACCUGCACCUGGACAGAAAGACCCUAUGAAGCUUUACUGUAACUUGAGAUUGAAAUUGGACUUUAUUUGCGCAGUAUAGGUGGGAGGCGUUGAGAAUAACCUUGCGGGAUUAUCGGAGCCAUCAGUGAGAUACCACUCUUGUAAUGUUAGAUUUCUAACUUUGUAUCAUUAUCUGGUCAAAGAACAGUUUCAGGCGGGCAGUUUGACUGGGGCGGUCGCCUCCCAAAGGGUAACGGAGGCGCACAAAGGUUUCCUCUGAACGGGUAGAAAUCGUAUCUAGAGUGUAAAGGCAUAAGGAAGCUUGACUGUGAGACCUACAAGUCGAGCAGGGACGAAAGUCGGUCUUAGUGAUCUGACGGUGCUGAGUGGAAAGGCCGUCACUCAACGGAUAAAAGUUACUCUAGGAUAACAGGCUGAUCUCCCCCAAGAGUUCACAUCGACGGGGAGGUUUGGCACCUCGAUGUCGGCUCAUCGCAUCCUGGGGCGGUAGUACGUCCCAAGGGUUGGGCUGUUCGCCCAUGAAAGCGGUACGCGAGCUGGGUUCAGAACGUCGUGAGACAGUUCGGUCCAUAUCCGGUGUAGGCGUAGAAUAUUGAAAGGAGCCUUCUCUAGUACGAGAGGACCGAGAAGGACAUACCUCUGGUGUGCCAGUUAUCGUGCCAACGGUAAACGCUGGGUAGCUAUGUAUGGAGUGGAUAACCGCUGAAAGCAUCUAAGUGGGAAGCCCACCUUAAGAUAAGUAUUCUCAU
rnacentral:rRNA from 1 species